AGGGAGAUAACGAACUAUGUGAAGCUGGGAGGUGGGAGGUAUCGGGCUGCAACGAAAGUGAAUGUAUUGAGCCCCGAAAUAACCAGCGUGUCGGAGGCCGAUGCCCUUCAUAUGGCAGCAGGCAGUAAUCUCUUAGUCGAUAGGGCGAGGUUAAGAGAUCCCGACGGGGUCUGAGGCAG
rfam:Deltaproteobacteria bacterium CG2_30_43_15 cg2_3.0_scaffold_11855_c, whole genome shotgun sequence.